UCUUGUGAAAACAAUCGGAAAAGAAUCUGAUUUUACUCCAAUCUGCACCAAUGAAACAACGACUAUCAUCAUCCAGAUCGUGUGUAAGAUCAGAACAGAGAGAAGCAGCAAAGAGUGCAGUCUGCGGUAUAAGGAUGGAGGUGACUUUGUUCAUGAAUGUGACUCCAGGUUCUCACUGAAAACCAGGAAUCAAACUGUGUUUCUGCACCUGACCAGUUUAACACCAGCUGAUAGUGGGAACUACUCCUGUGAGUGUUCUAAUCUUGAUGGAACAUUUAUUUUCCAUCUCAACAUCACAGUUAAAGACCCACUUCCUAAUAAUAAUAAUUCAUCAGAUGAAGUUUGGAGCCAAUCUACAGGAGUGACUCUUCCUUCUGCUUUGACUGCUGCAGUUCUCUUAAUUUUCAUAGUUUCAGUUAUUCUGGGAUUUAUUCACAGAAGACGUCCACUUCGAGAGCAACCAGAAUCGUGCAGACAUAAUCUAGAGGAGGACUCGACUGAAAUYGAGCCGUACAGCUCCUACACUCAGAAGGAAAAUUCACUUUAUUCAACAGGCAUAAUGCACAGCUGUCAAAUUAAUUCUGACUAUGCAAAUAUUUUCACUUGAACGGACAAAUUUGGCUUCACAGCCUUUGUCUGUAGUUUAAUUUGUGUUUAUGGUCAUUUCCUUGUGGUGUAUUUAUGUUCAAUAUGUCUUGCCAUACUCAGUAAAUUUCCAUGUAUACAUUAAUGUUGGAAUGUUGUUGCCAUAUAAGCUAAUUCCUUUGUGUUUCGUUUCUUGUUGUGUUCUGUUAUUUGUGC